UAGGGAAUUUUCCGCAAUGGGCGAAAGCCUGACGGAGCAACGCCACGUGAGUGAGGACGGCCUUCGGGUUGUAAAACUCUGUUCUUGAGGAAGAAUUCCUUCCAGGCGAACAGCCUGGAAGGUUGACGGUACUCAAGGAGAAAGCCCCGGCUAACUACGUGCCAGCAGCCGCGGUAAUACGUAGGGGGCGAGCGUUAUCCGGAAUUAUUGGGCGUAAAGCGCGCGCAGGCGGCCGAUUAAGUCAGGUGUGAAAGGCUGCGGCUCAACCGCAGAGCGGCACCUGAAACUGGUCGGCUUGAGUGCAGGAGAGGGGAGCGGAAUUCCCGGUGUAGCGGUGGAAUGCGUAGAGAUCGGGAGGAACACCAGUGGCGAAGGCGGCUCUCUGGCCUGUAACUGACGCUGAGGCGCGAAAGCGUGGGGAGCAAACAGGAUUAGAUACCC
rnacentral:rRNA from 1 species